rnacentral:lncRNA from 1 species
UUAGUUCUAAUUCUAUAGUCUAAUUUAUCCAAAUUUCUUGAACUGUUUUUGCUAUAGUUUGCUGGAGAAUCCAACAAGCAAUUGCUUUACAGCCAGACUAGCUAUUUUGUUUGCUAUUAGCUGUUUUCUUUGCGAGUAAGAAUCUCUUUAAUUUUAUUCCUGCUAGUGGACUUUUUCUAGUUUCACACAGCUUUGCAGGACUGCAGUUCCUGCUUAUGCGAAAUGCAUUGGAUAAGCAUCUAUUACAUGAAUCUCACAACGCAUGCCCUUACUAUUCUAGCAAAAACAGUAAGGCCUCCCAGCACCUUUUUUUUCUUUUUUUUCUUUUUCGUAAAGGAGAUUCAAACCGACCUGGAGAAUACUCCUAUAAUGCUAAAAAAUAUGAUCAAAUUUGAGUAGCAAAUGUCUAUGAAUAUCUCAUACAUGUAUCUCAUUAAUUCUCAGGCAAGUACAAUAUUUAACAUGUCAUGGUGGCAUUUUCCUUUAAUCAAUCUUUCUCCUUCUAGAAGCUGAAGAAUAAAUGAGCGAUCCAUAGGGAAUAUUACAUACAGUUAGAAGAAUAAAAAUCAACCCACCAUCUCUCUAUAAUGAGUUAUCCUUUCAACUAGGAACAAAGGUUCUAUUCUCGCCAUCAGUACUUGACUAAUUAACGAGCUCCCUUUGAUAAUAUUUUAAAACCUCCCCGGGAUAUCAGGUAAGUAACUAGGACCUUGAAAAGCUUGGACUAGAUUCAUCAAUAACUAAAUUCAAAAACUUUUAUAUAUAUAUAUAGCUCUGACCAGGUUAGCCGCUUCGGCUGGAUGGUUGUCAAAUUGUUUAAUAUAAUAGUAAUGGUUGUUUUUUAAUUUUAUUUUUUUAAAAAUUAUUUUUAACAUUAAUACAUUAAAACGAUACAAAAAUACAUUAAAAAAAUUAAUUUUAAAAAAAAAUUAAUUUUUUUUUAAAUUCUACUUUAAACGCAGGGCCAAACACGCUGUAGUGGCAAAAUCAUCUACACGUUGACAAAAGAUGAGGCGAGGAGGACAACAUAUUAAGAGGGAUAAUUACUAUGCUAUUUUUUUAGCUAACAACGUAGUUUUUCAGAAUAAUUCUAGAGCGGCAACUCCAAUAUUGUACAAAGGUAGCUAUCACUAUGUAAUUCCAAUUUUACCGGAUGUCUCCAAAGAGACGAACAAUUAAGUAGCUAGCUAGCCUGCUUAAUUAACUUAAUUAAUUUUCUAAGUUCUUCUAACAUCAUCUCCUGUGUCGCCGGACUUUGACCAUGCAUAAUGCACCUAACUUAUUGACAGUUUGUUUAUGUAAGAAUCUUGG